AUUCUACAGAUCUGCCAUACAACAUUGUGCUUAUGGUUAACAGUGUUACAGUGUGCACUUAAAUAUUUAUUAACAGGGUAGAUCUAUAGUUAAGUGUUCUUACCACAAUAAAAAAAGACUAAUGUAUUAAAAAGAAUUGUUAGUUUAUGUUUUUGUAUAUAUUAUGCAUAAAGAUGUAAUUCUUUGACACCAACAACUGAAAAAGGUGGGGACUGAGCUGUAAAGGAGCAGAGUUUUUGUGUGUUAUUGAAGUUAAGCUGUAUAAAUUCAAAUCAGAGUAUUAUAACUUUAGAAUGUUAAAUGUAAUCUCCAUGGUAACCACAGAGAAAGUAGCUAUAGAAUAUUUACAAAAGGAAAUGAGUAAGAAAUGUAAAUGCUUCACUGUAAAAAAAAAACAGCAACUAAAUACAUAUGAAGAAAGUAAUGCAGGAAAUAAAGGACAAAAAGAAGCUAUAAGCUAUCUUUCCUUCCUUAUAUUAUUAGCGGAUGAUUUAAGCCUACAGCCACGUUGAGACAUGGUGGCUCAGCAGAGCUGUCUGGGGAAAAAUGCACGUGAUUGCCAACUUUUGCAGAGUUGAGAGACUGGAAAGAGUCCUCGCCAGCUGAUGCACUUGGAGGAAGUGGAGUGUGUCGUGAUAUCAUUCAGUCUGCAUCAUUGACUCUGCAGUCUCUGCUGCCCUUAUAACUUAAUGUUCUGGGCAGUCCAGGUUCCCAUUUAUCAGCAAGGAUGAUAAACUGCUAAUGACUGCUGGCCUCUCCCUAUUCUUAAGUUAUCUGCUCACACAAAGCCACAGAUUCAUUCAAUUUGGAAAAUGUUAAUAAGAUGCCAAAAAUGUGUUCAGGAAGAUGAAAGAAAAAGCUUUUCAAAUGGCUUGUAUCAUUAUUUCCAAAAUUGAAUUCCAACUGUCCCUGUUUGCGCAGGUGAAUUAAAAGACUAUCAAAACCUUAAAUGUUUCUAUUAACUAAUUAAACAGUGUCUGAAUAGAGACGUGGUAAAGAUGAAAGGUGUUCAUGGUUCAUGCUCUAUCAAAUGAACUUCCAUGACAAAAGAUAAUGAACACUUGCUCCCCCCAUCUAGAAAAUCAGUUCUACAACUUUGAUUCCAUUAUUUGAAUAAU
rnacentral:lncRNA from 1 species